GACGAACGCUGGCGGCGUGCUUAACACAUGCAAGUCGAACGGAAAGGCCCUGCUUUUGUGGGGUGCUCGAGUGGCGAACGGGUGAGUAACACGUGAGUAACCUGCCCUUGACUUUGGGAUAACUUCAGGAAACUGGGGCUAAUACCGGAUAGGAGCUCCUGCUGCAUGGUGGGGGUUGGAAAGUUUCGGCGGUUGGGGAUGGACUCGCGGCUUAUCAGCUUGUUGGUGGGGUAGUGGCUUACCAAGGCUUUGACGGGUAGCCGGCCUGAGAGGGUGACCGGCCACAUUGGGACUGAGAUACGGCCCAGACUCCUACGGGAGGCAGCAGUGGGGAAUAUUGCACAAUGGGCGGAAGCCUGAUGCAGCAACGCCGCGUGCGGGAUGACGGCCUUCGGGUUGUAAACCGCUUUCGCCUGUGACGAAGCGUGAGUGACGGUAAUGGGUAAAGAAGCACCGGCUAACUACGUGCCAACAGCCGCGGUGAUACGUAGGGUGCGAGCGUUGUCCGGAUUUAUUGGGCGUAAAGGGCUCGUAGGUGGUUGAUCGCGUCGGAAGUGUAAUCUUGGGGCUUAACCCUGAGCGUGCUUUCGAUACGGGUUGACUUGAGGAAGGUAGGGGAGAAUGGAAUUCCUGGUGGAGCGGUGGAAUGCGCAGAUAUCAGGAGGAACACCAGUGGCGAAGGCGGUUCUCUGGGCCUUUCCUGACGCUGAGGAGCGAAAGCGUGGGGAGCGAACAGGCUUAGAUACCCUGGUAGUCCACGCUGUAAACGGUGGGUACUAGGUGUGGGGUCCAUUCCACGGGUUCCGUGCCGUAGCUAACGCUUUAAGUACCCCGCCUGGGGAGUACGGCCGCAAGGCUAAAACUCAAAGGAAUUGACGGGGCCCCGCACAAGCGGCGGAGCAUGCGGAUUAAUUCGAUGCAACGCGUAGAACCUUACCUGGGUUUGACAUGGAUCGGGAGUGCUCAGAGAUGGGUGUGCCUCUUUUGGGGUCGGUUCACAGGUGGUGCAUGGCUGUCGUCAGCUCGUGUCGUGAGAUGUUGGGUUAAGUCCCGCAACGAGCGCAACCCUUGUUCACUGUUGCCAGCACGUUAUGGUGGGGACUCAGUGGAGACCGCCGGGGUCAACUCGGAGGAAGGUGGGGAUGACGUCAAGUCAUCAUGCCCCUUAUGUCCAGGGCUUCACGCAUGCUACAAUGGCUGGUACAGAGAGUGGCGAGCCUGUGAGGGUGAGCGAAUCUCGGAAAGUCGGUCUCAGUUCGGAUUGGGGUCUGCAACUCGACCUCAUGAAGUCGGAGUCGCUAGUAAUCGCAGAUCAGCAACGCUGCGGUGAAUACGUUCCCGGGGCU
rnacentral:rRNA from 1 species